UACGAAGGGGGCUAGCGUUGCUCGGAAUCACUGGGCGUAAAGGGUGCGUAGGCGGGUCUUUAAGUCAGGGGUGAAAUCCUGGAGCUCAACUCCAGAACUGCCCUUGAUACUGAGGAUCUUGAGUUCGGGAGAGGUGAGUGGAACUGCGAGUGUAGAGGUGAAAUUCGUAGAUAUUCGCAAGAACACCAGUGGCGAAGGCGGCUCACUGGCCCGAUACUGACGCUGAGGUGCGAAAGCGUGGGGAGCGAACAGG
rnacentral:rRNA from 1 species